GACGAACGCUGGCGGCGUGCCUAAUACAUGCAAGUAGAACGCUGAAGAGAGGAGCUUGCUCUUCUUGGAUGAGUUGCGAACGGGUGAGUAACGCGUAGGUAACCUGCCUUGUAGCGGGGGAUAACUAUUGGAAACGAUAGCUAAUACCGCAUAACAAUGGGUGACACAUGUCAUUUAUUUGAAAGGGGCAAUUGCUCCACUACAAGAUGGACCUGCGUUGUAUUAGCUAGUAGGUGAGGUAAUGGCUCACCUAGGCGACGAUACAUAGCCGACCUGAGAGGGUGAUCGGCCACACUGGGACUGAGACACGGCCCAGACUCCUACGGGAGGCAGCAGUAGGGAAUCUUCGGCAAUGGGGGCAACCCUGACCGAGCAACGCCGCGUGAGUGAAGAAGGUUUUCGGAUCGUAAAGCUCUGUUGUAAGUCAAGAACGGGUGUGAGAGUGGAAAGUUCACACUGUGACGGUAGCUUACCAGAAAGGGACGGCUAACUACGUG
rnacentral:rRNA from 1 species